rnacentral:rRNA from 1 species
GACAGGUGCUGCAUGGCUGUUGUCAGCUCGUGUUGUGAAAUGUUGGGUUAAGUCCCGCAACGAGCGCAACCCUUAUCCUUUGUUGCCAGCGGUCCGGCCGGGAACUCAAAGGAGACUGCCAGUGAUAAACUGGAGGAAGGUGGGGAUGACGUCAAGUCAUCAUGGCCCUUACGACCAGGGCUACACACGUGCUACAAUGGCGCAUACAAAGAGAAGCGACCUCGCGAGAGCAAGCGGACCUCAUAAAGUGCGUCGUAGUCCGGAUUGGAGUCUGCAACUCGACUCCAUGAAGUCGGAAUCGCUAGUAAUCGUGGAUCAGAAUGCCACGGUGAAUACGUUCCCGGGCCUUGUACACACCGCCCGUCACACCAUGGGAGUGGGUUGCAAAAGAAGUAGGUAGCUUAACCUUCGGGAGGGCGCUUACCACUUUGUGAUUCAUGACUGGGGUGAAGUCGUAACAAGGUAACCGUAGGGGAACCUGCGGUUGGAUCACCUCCUUACCUUAAAGAAGC